rnacentral:misc_RNA from 1 species
AAAUAAUAAUAAUAAACUAUAUAUUGAACUAUUAUGAAAUUUGAUUCCUUGAUUCUCAUGAAUAAAGUGUUAAAAAAUGGUCAAUCACCCUAGGUUUUUAUGUGGUAGUGUAAGAAUUCCCUUUGAUUACACAUUUCUAAUAUUUAUUAUUUUCAUGCAAUGAAUCAUCUCAAUUUCCUUUCUUCCUUGUAGGGCACAAAAAAUUUGUGG